rnacentral:tRNA from 3 species
GGGCCCGUAGCUCAGUUGGUUAGAGCACACGCUUGAUAAGCGUGAGGUCGGAAGUUCAAGUCUUCCCGGGCCCACCA